GAAAUGCGAUAAGUCAUGUGAAUUGCAGAAUUCAGUGAAUCAUCGAAACUUUGAACGCACGUUGCGCCUUUUAGUAUUCCGAAAGGCAUGCCUGUGUGAUUAUCCUGAAAUCUCAAUCCCCCCGGGUUUUCUGAACCCGAGGUGGACUUGGACAUGGGUGUCUGCCGUCUCGUACGGCUCGCCUUAAAUGACUCAGUGGCAUCUUCAGCAUCCGUGGCAGACGUAAUAAGUCUCGUCUCGUCCCUUGCUGUGAGGACCGCUCAUAACCUGCCAUCGCGCACCACUUUUGACUCUGACCUCAAAUCAGGUAGGACUACCCGCUGAACUUAA
rnacentral:misc_RNA from 1 species